GACGAACGCUGGCGGCGUGCUUAACACAUGCAAGUCGAACGGAAAGGCCCUGCUUUUGUGGGGUGCUCGAGUGGCGAACGGGUGAGUAACACGUGAGUAACCUGCCCUUGACUUUGGGAUAACUUCAGGAAACGGGGGCUAAUACCGGAUAGGAGCUCCGGCUGCAUGGUGGGGGUGGGAAAGUUUCGGCGGUUGGGGAUGGACUCGCGGCUUAUCAGCUUGUUGGUGGGGUAGUGGCUUACCAAGGCUUUGACGGGUAGCCGGCCUGAGAGGGUGACCGGCCACAUUGGGACUGAGAUACGGCCCAGACUCCUACGGGAGGCAGCAGUGGGGAAUAUUGCACAAUGGGCGGAAGCCUGAUGCAGCAACGCCGCGUGCGGGAUGACGGCCUUCGGGUUGUAAACCGCUUUCGCCUGUGACGAAGCGUGAGUGACGGUAAUGGGUAAAGAAGCACCGGCUAACUACGUG
rnacentral:rRNA from 1 species